rnacentral:rRNA from 1 species
UACGUAGGGUGCAAGCGUUGUCCGGAAUUAUUGGGCGUAAAGAGCUCGUAGGCGGUUUGUCGCGUCUGCUGUGAAAACUCGGGGCUUAACUCCGGGCCUGCAGUGGGUACGGGCAGACUAGAGUGCGGUAGGGGAGACUGGAAUUCCUGGUGUAGCGGUGAAAUGCGCAGAUAUCGGGAGGAACACCAAUUGCGAAGGCAGCUCGCUGGGACGUCACUGACGCUGAGACGCGAAAGCGUGGGGAGCAAACAGG